UCCGAAUUGGUGUAGUGGCUAACAUUAUCCGCUCUCACCGGGUAGCCCGGGGUUCGAUUCCCCGAUUCGGAG
rnacentral:tRNA from 1 species